rnacentral:rRNA from 1 species
UGAGUAACGCGUAGGAAUGUACCUUGUAGUGAGGGAUAAGCCGGAAACCGGGUCUAAUACCGCAUAUUCUCUUCGGAGCAAACCCUUCGGGGCGUAUAAGAGCGGCCUGCGUACGAUUAGGUUGUUGGUGAGGUAAAGGCUCACCAAGCCGAUGAUCGUUAGCUGGUCUGAGAGGAUGGUCAGCCAGACUGGGACUGAGACACGGCCCAGACCCCUACGGGGGGCAGCAAUUAGGAAUCUUUCGCAAUGGGGGAAACCCUGACGGAGCGACGCCGCGUGCAGGAGGAAGGCCUUCGGGUUGUAAACUGCUUUUGUAUGUGACGAUUAUGACGGUAGCAUGCGAAUAAGGACCUGCUAACUACGUG